UACGAAGGGUGCAAGCGUUACUCGGAAUUACUGGGCGUAAAGCGUGCGUAGGUGGUUUGUUAAGUCUGUUGUGAAAGCCCCGGGCUCAACCUGGGAAUGGCAAUGGAUACUGGCAGGCUAGAGUGCGGUAGAGGGUAGUGGAAUUCCCGGUGUAGCGGUGAAAUGCGUAGAGAUCGGGAAGAACACCAAAGGCGAAGGCAGUGUCCUGGGGAGUACCUGACGCUCAGGUGCGAAAGCCAGGGGAGCGAACGGG
rnacentral:rRNA from 1 species